rnacentral:rRNA from 1 species
AACGAACGUUAGCGGCGCGCUUAACACAUGCAAGUCGCACGAGAAAGGGCUUCGGCCCCGGUACAGUGGCGCACGGGUGAGAAACACGUGGGUAAUCUUCCCUCGGGCGGGGGAUAACAUUCCGAAAGGAGUGCUAAUACCGCACAAGACCACGGCUUCGAAAGGAGCUGAGGUCAAAGCCGGCCACUAUUCAUAAGCUGGCACCUGAGGAUGAGCCCGCGGCCCAUCAGCUAGUUGGUAGGGUAAUGGCCUACCAAGGCAAAGACGGGUAGCUGGUCUGAGAGGAUGAUCAGCCACACUGGAACUGAGACACGGUCCAGACUCCUACGGGAGGCAGCAGUGGGGAAUCUUGCGCAAUGGGCGAAAGCCUGACGCAGCGACGCCGCGUGAGUGAUGAAGGCCUUCGGGUUGUAAAGCUCUGUGGGGAGAGACGAAUAAGUCGGAGCUAAUACCUCCGGCGAUGACGGUAUCUCCUUAGCAAGCACCGGCUAACUCUGUGCCAGCCGCCGCCGUAAAAC